rnacentral:rRNA from 1 species
AACGUAGGUGGCAAGCGUUAUCCGGAUUUACUGGGCGUAAGGGUGUGCAGGCGGGGAAGCAAGUGGGGUGUGAAAUCUCCAGGCUUAACCUGGAGGGGUUAUGCCAGACUGCUUUUCUAGAGGACGAGAGAGGGGGGUGGAAUUCCGGGUGUAGUGGUGAAAUGCGUAGAGAUCCGGAGGAACCCCAGAGGCGAAGGCGGCCCCCUGGCUCGUACCUGACGCUCAGCCACGAAAGCAUGGGGAGCGAACGGG